UACUGAAAAGCUAGCCGACCAAACUAAAAACACCUAACCUUUAUAAUUAAACCCUAACGCACUACAACAGCAAAACAAACCAUUUUUCCCCCUGAGUAUGGGAGACAGAAAAGGAACAACGAGCAAUAGAAAAAGUACCGCAAGGGAACGCUGAAAAAGAAAUGAAACAACCCAGUUAAGUGAAAAAAAGCAGAGACUAACCCU
rnacentral:rRNA from 1 species